GACGAACGCUGGCGGCGUGCUUAACACAUGCCAGUCGAACGGAAAGGCCCUGCUUUUGUGGGGUGCUCGAGUGGCGAACGGGUGAGUAACACGUGAGUAACCUGCCCUUGACUUUGGGAUAAGUUCAGGAAACUGGGGCUAAUACCGGAUAGGAGCUCCUGCUGCAUGGUGGGGGUUGGAAAGUUUCGGCGGUUGGGGCUGGACUCGCGGCUUAUCAGCUUGUUGGUGGGGUAGUGGCUUACCAAGGCUUUGACGGGUAGCCGGCCUGGGAGGGUGACCGGCCACCUUGGUACUGCGGGACGGCCCAGUCUCCUACGGGGGGCAGCGGUGGGGAAUAUUGCACAAUGGGCGCAAGCCUGAUGCAGCAACGCCGCGUUCGGGAUGACGGCCUUCUGGUUGUAAACCGCUUUCGCCUGUGACGAAGCGUGAGUGACGGUAAUGGGUGAAGAAGCACCGGCUAACUACGUG
rnacentral:rRNA from 1 species